rnacentral:tRNA from 19 species
GCAGGUGUAGUUUAAUGGCAGAACUUCAGCCUUCCAAGCUGAUUGUGAGGGUUCGAUUCCCUUCACCUGCUCCA